AUUGGGAAUGGAGGGAAAUAAAUGACUGGAUGGUCGCUGCUUUUUGAGUUUCAAAUUGACAUUCUAGACAAGCGGUGCCUGAGCCCGUGCCUGUCUUCAGAUCUUCACAGCACAGUUCCUGGGAAGGUGGAGCCACCAGCCUCUCCCUGACAAGCAAAGUGGAUCAGCAAAGGCUGCAGUCACCAGCAUCUUUUCCAACCUUAAUGAACUGUAUCCUCAAAAGAACACUAUCAGACUGACUCUGCCGACUUCCAGUUCUGGAACAAGAUGGUUAAACUCAUUUUUCCCUGCUCUGCUCCUCUAAAUACAACUGAGUACCUUGGAAACUAUUCAGCAGACAAUGAUAAAGGGCUCUGAAAGCUAGAAGAAAAGGUGUACUUGCAAGAAACCUCAGGACUUGAGUAACAGCAACAUGGAGCCACACCGGUGAGGGCAGGGAGAGGGUGCUGGCUCUGAGCCAACUUUGCAGGGAAGGCCCAGCAGACCACGCUCAUUACUUACAGCCAGCAUCACUGGGGAACUCCGGCACAGACCUGUAGUUAGUGCCCCACAGCGCCCCAGCCUUCUCUCCCGACAGGAGCGGCCAGGACAGGGAGCAGAAGGUGACUGCUGUGCUGCCUGGAGCUCUUCUGUCCGGAGGCUAGUGAAACUAGAGAAACUCAGUG
rnacentral:lncRNA from 1 species